CUCCAGCCCGUGCUGCAGCUCCGCUCCUGCUGUGUGACACCAUCCAGCAGCCUGCAGGGCCCCAGCGCCGUGUGCUGCCCGCUGCCCAGGCUGCCAGCUGAAUGCAAACACAUCCAGCUACUGCCGAGCAGUGAGUCCGGAGCUGCCAGCUUCACCAUCCAGCUGUUCCAGAUGCUGAAUCACUCCGUAGCCUAUCUGCACUGUGAGCUCAAUGUCUGUCUGCAGGGCCACACAGGCUGUGAGCAGGACUGCUUUGUUGGUGCGGAGCCGCUCCCCCCGCCAGAGGACAGGAACAGGCAUGGAAACCCACACAACAUGGUCUCAUUCGGCCCAGUUCUGAGAGCAAUGGGCAGCGUAGGGUACAAACCUGCAGAAGGUCCUAAUUCUGCCAUGCUGGUGCCCAUUCUGCUGGGAUCCCUGACUGGCUUUGCUGUCUUGGGCAGUGUUUUCAUCUGCCUUUGGUUGCAUCACAGACAGAAAACCAAAAACCUAAGUUAUCCACAAUUUGGAGAAAUCUGUGGCCUAUGAACUACACAUAACUGCCUGGUCCCGCCUAUCCCGCUCCGCUGCUACAGUAAUCAGAAAAGCAAAUGCUUUUGAAUUGCACACUGUAUUGCUUUUGUAGACCUGUUGGCCCAGGGAGCAAGAUCUCUCUCCUUCCUUUCUUUCCUUCUGCACGCAUGAGCCCACAAACUGCAGAGUAGAGGACUGUAGAAGCAGCCCAUCCAAAGGGGAGAACAGAUCUGCCAGGUAGCUAAAACCUCUAGGUCAGGGUUCAGUGUCUUGCAGAAGCACUAUUAUUCCUUGCACUGCAGUAGUGCUGUGGAAAUUAGCACCACAUCCCAUUUGACAUUGCCUUACCCACAUAGGUAGUCCCAGUGCUAAGCUGUUAAUGCCAUUUAUGCCCUAGACAAGUGUCAUUAAAACCUUCUGGAGAGUUAAGGCACAGAGCAAGCCCAAGUGUGUGUGCAUCGAGGGUGACACAGCUACAAAGGAGCAGUGCCCCAGCCCCAAAGAUUCGCCCUCUUCCCUGCAACGCAUCUGCAAUCACAGCAGGUUCUGUGCAAAGCUGCAGCUCAAGGGGUGCUCAGUGGUUGUUGCUAACACACAUCCAAACCUUCCAGAGCUGCAACAGGGUGCUGGACUGCGAGGAUGUGUCAGCAAUGCAGCUGUGCUUUUGGGAAGAAAUCACUCUGCAGCUGCAUGUGGCCCUGCAGUAGUUCUGUGUGGUGCUGGGGCAGUGCCUGCACUCUGCUGUCUGCAGAACUCAGUUGCAUCCUGCAGGGCCCGGCACUGUGCAGCAUUGAGGCACCUCUUACAAUGGUGGACUUCAGUACCUGCACGCAUUGUAAAGGUGAAAAGCUGUUAAUAAAGAGCGGGCACCU
rnacentral:lncRNA from 7 species